GUUUCUCUUUUUUGUUUCUCAUGGUGUCAGAAGAGUUUUGGUAAAAAACGAGUUGUAGGUUGUGGCAGAAGGGAAGGAACGCCGCCUCGGCAGACUGCCGCUUCGACGUUCCGCCCCAACACCGAAAAAAAAAUGUUCACAAAGGUGGAUUACUAUGCAUCGGCCGCCACAAGAGUCGAGACUCGCGCAGCGGCUUCAGCAAGUAGAAUUUGUAAUGAUCCAACCGCAGGUUCACCUACGGUUA
rnacentral:misc_RNA from 1 species